GACGAUCCGCGGUGGUUCUUUUAUUGUCCCCGCGGGCAGUCCCCGGGAAACCUUUAAGUCUUUGGGCUCCGGGGGAAGUAUGGUUGCAAAGCUGAAACUUAAAGGAAUUGACGGAAGGGCACCACCAGGAGUGGAGCCUGCGGCUUAAUUCGACUCAACACGGGAAAACUCACCCGGCCCGGACACCGUGAGGAUUGACAGAUUGAAAGCUCUUUCUUGAUUCGGUGGUUGGUGGUGCAUGGCCGUUCUUAGUUGGUGGAGCGAUUUGUCUGGUUAAUUCCGAUAACGAACGAGACUUUGGCCUGCUAAAUAGUAAGCCUGUCCUGUGUGCUCGUGCGGGUGGCGGCGCUCAUUGCCCUUCGAGGCGGUGGUGUCGUUCGCCGGCGAGUGCUGCGCAGGUGUUUACUUCUUAGAGGGACAAGCGGCGAGACAGUCGCACGAAAAUGAGCAAUAACAGGUCUGUGAUGCCCUUAGAUGUCCGGGGCCGCACGUGCGCUACAAUGACGGUUUCAGCGAGUUUGGAAACCUGGCCUGAGAGGGUUGGGCAAACUGAAUC
rnacentral:rRNA from 1 species